GUACAUAUAAGUUACUUAGACUAUUACCUUGAAAAGGUAACAGCGGGCUAUAUACCCUAUUACCA
rnacentral:tRNA from 1 species